GACGAACGCUGGCGGCGUGCUUAACACAUGCAAGUCGAACGGUGAAAGCGGAGCUUGCUCCGCUGGAUCAGUGGCGAACGGGUGAGUAACACGUGGGCAACCUGCCCCUCACUUCGGGAUAACUCCGGGAAACCGGGGCUAAUACCAGAUAUGACCUCCUUGGGCAUCCUUGGAGGUGGAAAGUUUUUCGGUGAGGGAUGGGCCCGCGGCCUAUCAGCUUGUUGGUGAGGUAGUGGCUCACCAAGGCGACGACGGGGAGCCGGCCUGAGAGGGCGACCGGCCACACUGGGACGGAGACACGGCCCAGACUCCUACGGGAGGCAGCAGUGGGGAAUAUUGCGCAAUGGGCGAAAGCCGGACGCAGCAACGCCGCGUGCGGGAUGACGGCCUUCGGGUUGUAAACCGCUUUCAGCAGGGAAGAAGCCGCAAGGUGACGGUACCUGCAGAAGAAGCACCGACUAACUACGUGCCAGCAGCCGCGGUAA
rnacentral:rRNA from 1 species